rnacentral:ncRNA from 1 species
GAGACCUCAGCCUGCUAACUAGCUACACAGAGGUGAUCCUUCGUGGCUAGCUUCUUAGAGGGACUAUGGCCUUUUAGGCCAUGGAAGUUUGAGGCAAUAACAG